CUUAUACAUUUCCUGGUUUUUUGUCCCUUGGAAAACAAUGCUCCCACGACACCUUCAUGAAUAACUUGCUCUUUCUUCAAGAUUAUUUUCUUGGGAUAAACUCCCGGAAGUGAAAGCCACGGCUGGAGAAGCAUGGCCUCCUGUUCUCAGUCUGGAAAGCUAAAACAAGCACAGAAUACUAGAACACUAAAAAGUUUCUUCUUAAAAAGAACAAAUGGAAUACCUGCCCACAGUCACUGGUGCAAAAGGUGUGCUCCCUGCCAAGGCCAAGCAAGUCCAGCAGUGUGACUCAAUAUGGAAAAGGCAAGACAUGGUUCAGAAGCUGAUCAAUAAAAGAGCAUCAGACAAAAGUAUAUACUUCAAUAAGAGAAACUAAUUGUAAUCAGAUAAA
rnacentral:lncRNA from 1 species